rnacentral:rRNA from 1 species
AACGAACGCUGGCGGCAUGCCUAACACAUGCAAGUCGAACGAGACCUUCGGGUCUAGUGGCGCACGGGUGCGUAACGCGUGGGAACCUGCCCUUAGGUUCGGAAUAACUCCCCGAAAGGGGUGCUAAUACCGGAUAAUGUCUUCGGACCAAAGAUUUAUCGCCUUUGGAUGGGCCCGCGUUGGAUUAGCUAGUUGGUAGGGUAAAAGCCUACCAAGGCGACGAUCCAUAGCUGGUCUGAGAGGAUGAUCAGCCACACUGGGACUGAGACACGGCCCAGACCCCUACGGGAGGAGGCAGGGGGGAAUAGUGGAAAAGGGGCGAAAGCCGGAUCCAGCAAUGCCGGGUGAAGGAAAAAGGCCUUAGGGUUGUAAAGGUCCUUUACCCGGGAUGAUAAUGACAGUACCGGGAGAAUAAGCUCCGGCUAACUCCGU